GGGGUCCCGGGAUGGUGUCAAAGAUAGCAUGCACGUGUAGUACACGCUUUAGUAUAGUGAAACUGCGAAUGGCUCAUUAAAUCAUAUGUGAUUUCUUAGAUCGUUGCGUCCUUUCGGGGAUGUCUGGAUAACUGUGGCAAUUCUAGAGCUAAUACAUGCAAUCAAGCUCCAACCUUCUUGGGACGAGCGCUCUUAUUAGACCAAGGCCAACCUGCUGGGCAACUGGCAGUUAGCUGUGGUGACUCUGGAUAAACACAGUUGAUCGCACGACUUUACGUCGGCGACGUAUCUUUCAAGCGUAUGCCCUAUCAGCUGUCGACGGUAGGGUAGCGGCCUACCGUGGCAUCAACGGGUAACGGGGGAUCAGGGUCCGAUCCCGGAGAGUAAGCCUGAGAGACGGCUUACACAUCUAAGGAAGGCAGCAGGCGCGCAAAUUACCCAAUGGGGAAACCCUGAGGUAGUGACAAGAAAUAACAAUACGCGACUCUUUCGAGGCCGCGUAAUUGGAAUGAGCACAGUCUAAAUCCUUUAGCGAGGAUCAAUUGGAGGGCAAGUCUGGUGCCAGCAGCCGCGGUAAUUCCAGCUCCAAUAGCGUAUAUUAAAGUUGCUGCAGUUAAAAAGCUCGUAGUUGACAAUCGGCGCUCGUCUCGGCGGUCCUGUUCACGCAGGCACUGCCUUGACGGCCUCUACACACUGGCUUGAGGUCGUGCAGGCUGGGAGACUGGCAGCACGUACCAGAGCCCCGGGUGCCCUUCAUUGGGUGCCCGUGGGUGGCCUUUGCGUUUACUUUGAAGAAAUUAGAGUGUUCAAAGCGGGCUCUUGAUAGCUCGGAUACUCGUACAUGGAAUAAUGGAAUAGGACCCUGGGUCAUUUCCGUUGGUCUAUGGCCAUUGGGUAAUGAUUAAAAGGGACUGCCGGGGGCAUUGGUAUGGUGGGGGGAGAGGUGAAAUUCUGUGAUCCUCG
rnacentral:rRNA from 1 species